rnacentral:rRNA from 1 species
UACGAAGGGGGCUAGCGUUGCUCGGAAUCACUGGGCGUAAAGCGCACGUAGGCGGACUCUUAAGUCGGUGGUGAAAUCCUGGAGCUCAACUCCAGAACUGCCUUCGAUACUGAGAGUCUUGAGUCCGGGAGAGGUGAGUGGAACUGCGAGUGUAGAGGUGAAAUUCGUAGAUAUUCGCAAGAACACCAGUGGCGAAGGCGGUUCACUGGCCCGGUACUGACGCUGAGGUGCGAAAGCGUGGGGAGCAAACAGG